ACGAAGGUGGCGAGCGUUACUCGGAUUUACUGGGCAUAAAGCGCGCGUAGGCGGCCUGGUCAGUCGGAGGUGAAAGCCCGCAGCUCAACUGCGGAACUGCCCCCGAUACUGCCAGGCUUGAGUCCGGGAGGGGUAAUCGGAACUCCAGGUGUAGCGGUGAAAUGCGUAGAUAUCUGGAGGAACACCAGAGGCGAAGGCGGAUUACUGGACCGGUACUGACGCUAAGGCGCGAAAGCUAGGGGAGCAAACAGG
rnacentral:rRNA from 1 species